rnacentral:lncRNA from 9 species
GGAACUGCGAGAGGACGCCGGGUUCCACCCGGAACUAUUUUUCGCGGAGUUGGUGCCUAGUCGGACCUCGAGUUCGUAAGCAGUGGGAGCGCAGUGGUUUGGAGGAGUCCGAGGUUGCUAUGGAGUCCCCGAAACUUUUGAAAACUGUCGGGGUUCCAGGCGAAGAGCAAGAGCGAAUGGAGGAUUUCUGGAGACGUGUGCUAAGCUUAAGGUGACAAGGGAAAGAGGACGUGGGGCUUUCAAUGGAGCAGGAAACAGAACUCUUGAAAAGCACAGUCUGAAUAUCUUCAAAGGGAGCAAACAAAGAAACUACUGUAUCAAUUGAAGCCACCAGCAAAGGACAGAGCUAUCCCAACCCAGGGAAAUUCCAGAAGGGCAUUACACCUUGGUCUAUUAUAUGGAUGGCUUUGUAAGAUGACUUCUGAUCCUUCUGUCCCCCAGCCCCCACUUCAGAGAAAAUAGACCCAAGAGAGGAUGGCUGCAGUGGAAGAACACCCCGUGCUUCGCCUGCUCCCCUCAUGUUGUAGACUAACAAAUCUGUUUAGUAAUUAAAAGUGACCAAAAAGUUAUGGAAUCAGUCCGAGAUACUAUUUAAAAAAUGAGAGAUUUAAGAUAGCCUCAUUGGAGGUAAUAAUUAGAAGAAACAAAACAUCUCAAGGUUUACAAUGUUUAUACUGUAAGCCCUCUUGAAUCAACAACAGUCCUGUUUUCAGAAGGGAUUUUCAGGGCUGACAUGAGAGGCAUAAUUUGACAAGAGGGAGAAAUCGCUUCCAGGUUGAGAAGCAAGGGAAGCAUCUACACU